rnacentral:lncRNA from 1 species
AAAAGAACGCAUUUUCAACAAUUUCAAAACAAACACUCAAAACACAAAACUCAAAAUGAAUUCAAAACUCAAAACACAAAACUGAAAUACAAAGAGAACACCCCCUUAAUAUUUCAAUCACUCCUUGGGUGAUAUAAUUGCAGAAUUAAACAAAAACUAAUUCUAUCCUCUGUCAGAGUUAAGCUGUCAAGCGAGCAGUGGACUUCUGUUCAUUUUGACAUAGAAUUUUGAGUCAAAAAAAAAUUAAUGAAAUGAAAAAGAGCCUUAAGCAUAUACUAAAUCCUGAUUCCUAUACCCCUUUCAAUCGGACUUCAAAAUAUGGAAAAUCCUCUGUCAAUAUUGCUUCUAAUUGAAAUAUCUCUUUUUUCUCAUAUUUCCUAUUUUUCAAUCAGGGGAAAGCUCAAGGAUUUAUUGCUGGCGUGCAAUCCAUUGCAAGUUUAUUAUCUCCACUGGCAAUGACUCCGUUAACCAGUGAGUUAGAUUUUCUUUUUCUGCCCCUCUUGUAGAAAGAUCACAACCAUUUCAACUGAACUUUCUUCACUCUGGAUUUUAUCUUAUUCCAGCAUGGUUUCUAUCCAGCAAUGCUCCUUUUGACUGUAAAGGCUUCAGUAUUAUAUUUGCAUCUAUAAGCAUGGUAAGCUUGUACAUUUCCUUAAUACAUGUCACAUGUAGAAGAUUACAUUUGAGUCUUGUGGUGCCCGAUAUGAUCAUAUGAUCCCAUUUGAGAGUCUUGUUGUGACCGAUAAGAUCAUAUGAUCACAAUUAGGAGUUUUGUUAUGACCAAUAAAAUCAUAUAAUUAUCAUGAUAGGAUAAGUGAAAGUCUUGUCAAAAGUGGUAUGAUCGAUCGCAUCAUUGCAAUAAUAGAAUUUUGACGUAUGAUAAUAUUGUUUUGAUGAGAGGAUCAUAUGAUCCCUUCUAAGAGUCUUCUUGUGACUGAACUGAUCAUGUGAUUUUUAUCAUAGGAUCAUAUGAUUCCAUUUGAGUCUUACUGUUACUUGUAUGAUUCUAAUGAUUCUCAAUUGUUUCACUUUUAGGUCAUUUCCCUGUGUUUUGCCUGGACUCUGAAACUAGAUGCUCCAUCCAACAGGAUAUUAGAGGACAACGCGGAAAGCAUUGAAGCCCCUCUUUUAUCAUAAGCAUUACCGAAACUUGCCAACAUGUGUGACAUGUUCAAUAAAUUAGAUUAGACAAUACUGGACGUUACCGAGGAAGAAAAAGAAGUUAAAAUCUUGUCCAUUGUAUAUUGUAAUCUUGUCGUGUAUCAUACAAGGCCAUAUAGUCUACUAAUGAUGCCAUGGUGAAUGCUUUUCUUCUCCUUUAAAAGUUGUACAUGUGGAUGAGGCAGUUAUAUUAGUUUUGUUGGUAUUCACGAGAGCAUUUCUCUACAUAUAGAUGUUCUCGCUCAAGUAAAAUUUCUCUUUCUUUGCGUUUUCUAAUUAGAGUUUUUG